rnacentral:lncRNA from 1 species
UUUUAUAUAAAAAUAUUCAUUCAUAAACUUAAAAGUUACUAAUUUUAAUUUCUACUUACCUAGUAAAAAAAAUUGAAAUUUUGACAUGGAUUAAUUGAUAUUGAGGGAUUGUAUCUUUGUGAUUCAUGAAUCAAAGUUUUCGGAAUUUUACGACCGAUUUUAUUUUGAUGAAAAUACUCUCUGGUGAUUGAAAAGUAGUCCCAACAUUUUAUAUUGCAAAAUUCUGUAUCUUUUGUGUGAGGGAGAGUACUUGUAAU